rnacentral:lncRNA from 1 species
ACUCAAUAAAUUCAGUUUAAGAUAUCUCAUCCAUUUUGGCUCUGUAAGAACAAAUCUUUGAGCAAGCUUCACGUUCACAGCAGUGAAAUUUCCAAGUUUCACCCAUGAAUCAGUUGUUCAAUAAUUUAAUGCUUUAAAUUACUGAAUCUUUCAUGUUAAAUCAUCGAGAAAUAUAAGAAUUAAAGCGGAAGCAUACCUGAAUCUGAUAUGGUUAAUGCAAUAUGGAUUUCGCGGUAUGAUCUUCCAAAUCUACACGCAGUCUCAUUUUCCUCUCUGUGAUGGGAUGCAGUAGAGAAUGAAUAAUUCAUUGCGUGUGAUUUGGGGACCAUAACCUUAUUUAUAUGGAAAUGCCCUUUGACCUAAUUCGGCCCAUCAUAGAAUUAGGAUUUGGGCCCGGUCUCUAUACAUAUGUAAACUCAUACUUUAAUUGGAUACGUUAAAGCCCAAAACCGAAAUCUUAUUAGAUCACUUUAAUCGGGCUCAACCGAAUUCGAUAGCGUAUAAUUUAACACACAAUUAUUUACACAUACAAGCCCAUCUUUAAUUAAAAAUCCUUACAAUCUCCCACUUGGACUAUAUGUGUCACCUUAUAAUUGUGCAUUAAACAUAACCUUAUGAGUACUCAGAAUUUUGCUAUCAUUACCGAAUGUAUCCCCAAACAAUCCCAUCCAUCAAUCAUAUCAACAUAGGAUCAAAGCGACUUUCGCUACUUUCACGUAGCUAAACCCAUCAAUGGUCACGUAUAUCAAUAUAAUCGAAUGACAUGGAUCAAGCAUGGAUGUGUAGCAUGAAAAUUACAUGUAAUGUGAUCUGUAACAUGCCUAUUUCCAACUGGUCCACCUUAAUACCUUAGUGAGAUCAUUUUAAACAAGUUCAGAGAUAAUUAACCAAAUAACUUUAUAACUGAAAAUAACUUUAACUUUAAACCGUAUCCAAAAUAACAGUACAUGUGUCCAAUAUGAAAAGCAAAAAUACAAGCUCCCACUGAAACUAGAUAUCCUCAAGAGACAUUACACCCAUAUGAGCAGUGUGCUCAUGAAAGACCUUGGGUAUCAAUCCCUUAGUAAGCGGAUCCGCAACCAUGGAGUUUGUCCCAAUAUGCUCUAUUGACACCUGUCCACUCUGAACUCUUUCUUUAACGGCAAGGAACUUGAUCUCUAUGUGUUUUGACUUUGUCGAGCUCCCGUUGUUAUUGGAAUACAGCACUGCUAAUUUAUUGUCACAAAAUAUCUUAAGUGGUCUUUCUAUAUUGUCCACAAUACGCAGCCCAGUGACAAAAUUACGCANNNNNNNNNNNNNNNNNNNNNNNNNNNNNNNNNNNNNNNNNNNNNNNNNNNNNNNNNNNNNNNNNNNNNNNNNNNNNNNNNNNNNNNNNNNNNNNNNNNNNNNNNNNUUUCCAAUGAUCCAUUCCCGGGUUACUUAAAUAUCUCCCUAGCAUCCCAACGAUGUACGCUAUAUUCGGACGCGUACAAACCUGAGCAUACAUUAGACUCCCUAUAGUUGAGGAAUAAGGAAUCUUCUGCAUUUCUUUAAUUUCCAAGUCAUUUUUGGGGCACUGACUUAAACUGAUCUUGUCACCUUUAGCCACAGGGGUGUCACAUGGUUUACAAUCUUGCAUGCCAUAUCUUUUAAGUACCUUUUCGAUAUAACUCUUUUGUGAUAAUCCAAGAAUACCUCGAGAACGAUCUCGGUGUAUCUGAAUUCCUAAUACAAAAGAGGCAUCACCAAGAUCUUUCAUCUCAAAAUUCUUUGCUAGAAAUCUCUUGGUUUCGUGCAAUAAGCCUAUAUCGUUGCUGGCAAGCAAUAUGUCAUCGACAUAUAAAACCAGAAAAAUAUACUUGCUUCCACUGAACUUGUGGUAUAUACAAUCAAUCAUCAACCAAAUUCAUCUCAAAACCAAAUGAGAUGAUUACCUGAUGAAACUUGUAAUACCAUUGACGAGAUGCCUGUUUGAGUCCAUAGAUGGAUUUCUUUAAUUUACAAACCAUUUGCUUUGCAUCGUCCGAUACAAAGUUUUCUAAUUGUACCAUAUAAAUUGUUUCAUCAAUGUCAUCAUUGAGAAAUGCUGUCUUAACAUCCAUCUGAUGUAGCUCAAGAUUGAAAUGCGCUACCAAUGCCAUUAUAGUCCUGAAAGAGUCUUUCGAAGAAACCGGAGAGAAAGUCUCUUUAUAAUCGAUGCCUUCUUUCUGUGUAAAGCCUUUUGCGGCAAGACGAGCUUUAUACCUCUCUACAUCACCUUUCGAAUCCCUUUUGGUCUUAAAUAUCCAUUUGCAACCAAUGGGUUUCGUACCUUCAGGUAAUGGAACGAGGUCCCAUACGUCAUUGUCCUUCAUGGACUUUAUCUCUUCAUUCAUAGCAUCGAGCCACUUUUGAGAGUUAAAACUUUCCAUGGCUUGACGGAAGUUGAUCGGAUCAUCUUCCACCAUUCCAAUGUCAAUUUCAUGUUCUUGAAGAAAUACGAUGUAAUCAUUCGAAACCGCACUUCUCCUUUCUCUAGUGGAUCUUCUUAAUGGCAUUGGUUCUUGAGGGUGUAGAGUUUGUUCUUCUGGAACAAUUUGUUGAUCUUGAGAGGGAGGUAUGACAUUGUCUUGAUCCAGAGUUGUUUCUUGAACAAUAUCAGGGAUAGAAACCUGAUCAUUGUCAAUGACAAUUGGAGGAAUUUCAACAUAUUCCUCCUCAAAGACAAAGCCUGUAACCCUUUCUCCCCUCGCAAACUCAACAUCCUCAAAGAACCUAGCAUUUCCUGUCUCGAAAAUUGCCUUAGUUGUGGGAUCAUAAAACUUGUAACCCCUGGACCUUUCAGAAUAUCCAAUGAAAUAGCANNNNNNNNNNNNNNNNNNNNNNNNNNNNNNNNNNNNNNNNNNNNNNNNNNNNNNNNNNNNNNNNNNNNNNNNNNNNNNNNNNNNNNNNNNNNNNNNNNNNNNNNNNNNNNNNNNNNNNNNNNNNNNNNNNNNNNNNNNNNNNNNNNNNNNNNNNNNNNNNNNNNNNNNNNNNNNNUAUUCACCCCCACGGUCAGAUCUGACGCUUUUAAUCCUUUUGCCGAGUUGGUUCUCAACUUCAGCUUUAUAGUUUUUGAACACAUCCAGUGACUGUGAUUUUUCAUGAAUGAGAUAUAUGUAGCCAUAUCUUGAAAAGUCGUCUAUGAACGUUAUAAAAUAUUAUUGACCAUUCCAAGAACCCGUAGGGAAUGGUCCACAAAUAUCCGUAUGUAUAAGUUCUAAGACGUCCGAAGUCCUAUUGGCUUGAAAUCUCCUUUUAUUGGUUUGUUUUCCCUUUAUACAGUUGACACACAAAUCAUAAUCUGUGAAGUUAAGAGGGUCGAGAAUCCCGUCAGACACGAGUCUCUCAAUUCUCCUUUUAGAGAUGUGACCUAAUCUCUUGUGCCACAACGAGGCAGAAUUCUCGUCGUUUAAUUUUCGCUUUACACCUCGAGUACUUACAUGCAAGGUUUCAUUAUAAGAAGCAAUUGUAUCAAUUGAAUAAAGAUUAUCGUAACCUGAUAAAGAACCGGAACCAACCAAUUUUCAAUCAUGAAACAAACUAAAUUUUUCAUUUCCAAAAGAACAAGUAUAACCAAAUUUGUCCAAAACAGAAAUAGAAAUCAAAUUCCGUCUAAAAGACGGUACAAUAAAUGUCUCAACAAGAUCCAAAUAAAAUCCAGUCUUUAACAAUAAUCUAAAUUUUCCUAUUGCCUCUACUUCCAUUCUAUUGCCGUCGCCAGCAUAGAUGUAUCUUUCACCAUCACAUGGUUUUCGGCAACUCAGGUAACCCUGCAUAGACAUACUGAUGUGAGUUGUUGCACCAGAAUCUAUCCACCAUUUAUGUCUAGGUACCGAAGUUAAAUUAACCUCAGAACAAACCAAAUGAAGAAGAGUACCUUUCUUUACAUGCCAUGCGUGGUAAUUGGUGUAAUUCUUCUUCUUAUGACCUGCAGCUCCACAGAAGAAACAACCGCCUUCAGUUGGUUCCUUAUGCUGUUUCUUUUACGGUGCCGUACCUGCAGCUUUCUUAUUAAUCUUCCUUUUCUUGUUGCUUUUGUCCUUAGAGGUGGUGGCUAAAUAAGCACUUUCUGUCUUUUCAUGCUUCAGUCUUUCCUCUUCCUGGACACAGUGUGAGAUGAGCUCAUUAAGGGACCAUGAGUCCUUUUGACAGUUAUAGCUCACCUUGAAUUGACUGAAAUGUGUCGGAAGGGAUAUCAGAACCAAGUGCACUAACAAGUCUUCAGAUAAAUCCAACUUGAGUGCCUUUAGUUUUGAAGCAAUGUGAGACAUUUCCAUAAUGUACUCCCGAAUGUUUCCUUUCCCUUUAUACCUCAUUGAGACAAGAUUUGUCAAAAGUGUACUUGUUUCAGCCUUUUCAUUCCUGGCAAACCUCUUCUCAAGAUCCUCAAGAAAACCCUUAGCCGUAGUCACCUUAUAAAACAUAGUGCCCGGGAAUGCUUUUGGAAUAGCACGCUUCAUAACCAUUAAACUUAUGCGGUUCGAUCGUUCCCACUUUUCCAUCUCCCUCUUGUCAUCAGAGGUACUCUUAUCAGUAAGUGCAGCAGGUUGAUCGACUCGUAAAGCAAGGUCUAGGUCCAUGACUCCAAGAACAAUCAUAACGUUCUCUUGCCAUGCCAUGAAGUUUGUGCCAUUUAACAUUGGAAUUGAAUUGAUGCUAGCAGAGAUAUUAGCAGCAGAACCUGAAACUGAAUUAGAGAACAUUUAUUAUGAAUAGCUCACAUGAAUAUCUUUAAUAUGCAAAUAAUAAUAAUAAUAAUCUCAAACAGUGGUAGGGCCCAUCACAAGAUACCAAGCACAACAUCAAUAUCCAGUCUUUGGACAGAGAUAUUGACUUGUAAGCGGUACUCUUGGCGUAGUGAUCAAACAUUGACGAUAAAACAACGUAUCAAUCAAUAAACCUUUCUUUGGACCGAUUUAUUGAUCACACAUUAAACCAAAUAAUCAUCACACGUUUAUCACCACAGGUGCACGUGUAUUCGGCUAAAUAUUGACCUUCCUUUGGACCGACCAAUAUUCCCAUGAAUAACACAUGCAUAAACACUUUUUAACAUUCUAAGUUAGUCAAUUUUCACAAGAGAGGUUGCUUUGACAACAUAUUGCUUCAAUUAACUAACUUUCGAAUAUUAUAUCUCUUUAAAAGAGUCUUUAAUACCAAAAUUUGAGAAAGAGAAUCAUCAAUUUUGCAUAUUUUGAUUAGUUUUAAACUUUAGGGGCCUUAGGAUUAAUAAUUCAAAACUUUAAGGGGGCAAAAUUAAUUAAUUUCAAACUUUAGGGGUUGAAAUUAAUAAACUUGAAACUUUAGGGACCAAAAUUAAUUAAUUCAAUACUUUAGAGGAUCAAUUAGAACAAAUUUUAAAACUUUAGGGGCCAAAAUUGAUCAACUCAAAACUUUAGGGAUCAAAUUUUAAAAAUUUGAAACUUUAUGGGUCAAUUUGAAUUAAUUAUGACCUUAGAGGGCCAAUUUGAAUUAAUAAUUUAAUUUUGAGGACUUAAAUUAUUAUUUUCAGAACUUUAAUGGCCCAAAUUAAUUAAUUUUAAAACCUUAGGGACUGAAAUAUUAAAUCCGAAACUCAAAGGCCCAAAUCUCAAUAUAACUUAAAGGUUAGGGACUGAAACUUAAUUUUAUAACCCUAACCCUAAUUGCAACUAAGGACCUCAAUUCAUCUAAUUUACAGGAGAGGCCCCCACCCCCAAAAAUCCAAAAACUGAAAAAAACCUAAAUUUUUUUUUUCUCUUUUUUCCUUCCUGGUGGCGGCGCACUCUGGCGCCGCCUGGAGUAACGGCGCUGGCACCUGCAGCAGCAGCGGGCUCGCCGCCGCCGACUUCUUUUUUUUUUUUUUUUUUUUUUUAAAAAAAAAAAAAAAAAAAAAAAAAAAAAAAAAUUUUUUUUUUUACAAAAAUCUGAACCCAAAAAAAAAAUCUGAAUUCCAAAUCUAAAUUUUCUCAACUAAUUAAUCCGAAUUUCGAAAAUAACAAGAAUUAUAUCGCAAAAUUUUUUCAAAUUUAACAAAAUAUAUAACAAAAAAUUGUUAAAUCUGAAAAUUUCAAAAUAUAUUGCAAGAACCAAAUUAUAUUAUUCGAUUCUCAAUGAUUCAACAUGAAGAGGCUCUGAUACCACUUGUUAAAUAAUUUAAUGCUUUAAAUUACUGGAUCUUUCAUGUUAAAUCAUCGAGAAAUAUAAGAAUUAAAGCGGAAGCAUACCUAAAUCUGACAUGGUUAAUGCAAUAUGGAUUUCGGGGUAUGAUAUUCCAAAUCUACACGCAGUCUCAUUUUCCUCUCUGUGAUGGGAUGCAGUAGAGAAUGAAUAAUUCGUUGCAUGUGAUCUGGGGACCAUAACCUUAUUUAUAUGGAGAUGCCCUUUGACCUAAUUCGGCCCAUCAUAGAAUUAGGACUUGGGCCCGAUCUCUACACAUAUGUAAACCCAUACUUUAAUUGGAUACAUUAAAACCCAAAAUCGAAACCUUAUUAGAUCACUUUAAUCGGGCUCAACCGAAUUCGAUAGCCUAUAAUUUAACACACAAUUAUUCACACAUACAAGCACAUCUUUAAUUAAAAACCCUUACAUCAGUUAGAUAUACAGGACUGCCAAGUAACUCAAAAUCUUUUGGAUUAGAUGAGAAGCGUUCAAAAUUUGCUAUUUCAAUUGUAUUCACUAAUGUUUCUUCCGAAAGUUUUAUGACAACAAACUUUUCCUCGGCAGAGCAAGG